rnacentral:rRNA from 1 species
UACAGAGGUCUCAAGCGUUUGUUCGGAUUCAUUGGGCGUAAAGGGUGUGUAGGUGGCGCCGUAAGUCGGGUGUGAAAUUUCGGAGCUUAACUCGAAACUGCAUUCGAUACUGCGGUGCUUGAGGACUGGAGAGGAGACUGGAAUUCAUGGUGUAGCAGUGAAAUGCGUAGAGAUCAUGAGGAAGACCAGUGGCGAAGGCGGGUCUCUGGACAGUUCCUGACACUGAGACACGAAGGCCAGGGGAGCAAACGGG